rnacentral:rRNA from 1 species
CCUACGGGGGGCUGCAGUGAGGAAUAUUGGUCAAUGGACGAGAGUCUGAACCAGCCAAGUAGCGUGAAGGAUGACUGCCCUAUGGGUUGUAAACUUCUUUUAUAAAGGAAUAAAACGAGGCACGUGUGCCUUUUUGCAUGUACUUUAUGAAUAAGGAUCGGCUAACUCCGUGCCAGCAGCCGCGGUAAUACGGAGGAUCCGAGCGUUAUCCGGCUUUAUUGGGUUUAAAGGGAGCGUAGAUGGGUUGUUAAGUCAGUUGUGAAAGUUUGCGGCUCAACCGUAAAAUUGCAAUUGAUACUGGCAGUCGUGAGUACAGUUGAGGUAGGCGGAAUGCGUGGUGUAGCGGUGAAAUGCUGAGAUAUCACGAAGAACCCCGAUUGCGAAGGCAGCUUACUAAACUGUGACUGACAUUGAUGCUCGAAAGUGUGGGUAUCAAACAGGAUUAGAUACCCUUGUAGUC